rnacentral:misc_RNA from 1 species
GCUAUGCAUUAGAUUCUAGACGUUUAGGUUAGGAUGGCCACCUUACCUGCCAGGACGGGUCAGGAUAAACCAGUUUUUAUUCCGCCCAAACGGCGCACUGCAUCCGGCAAGUCGAGCGCCAAUACGCCAACUCGGUCCAUGUAUGGAGACCAAAUUCUUCUUGUUCAGGGUCGGAACCCAGGGUCUGUCGACUGUCUAGCCGCCGAGCAGGACAGGGACGUUCUCGGCUCCUUGGAGAAAGUUCCGAGUGGGUCAUUUGGUACUAUGAAAUCAAUCAGGUCCAAUGGUAGUGUUCCGACCCUUGAGAGGGUUCGAAGAGAGAUGUCAAACCAUAGUAUAGGAUCCCAUUCACAGACAAGCUCAGGACAGAUCUCUGAGCGAAGUACAGAUAUUGACCUAGUCCGUGAAGCUGUACAUACCAAACGAAGUCUGCGAACAGCCAGAUUAAGUGAGUCCCGAAUAUCCCGGAGUACAAGUAGAACAAGUAGAACUAGUAGAACCAGUAGAUCCAGUCAACCUCCUUCGGUUAACACCUCCACAGAUGAACUAGACCAGGUUUCUGUAGUUGCUGUGGAAGAUAGAGCACGAAGUAUUCAAGCUCGACCUCUUCCUGAGCUACCUAGUUCAACCAGUACUCCAGCUAAACUUCAACUCAGGAUAAACCCAGAGGAUGAGGGGAUAGAGAUAGUUAACUCGGAGAAUAUAUCAAUCGGAGGCGGAGGUGGAAGGAAUAUAUCCCUCCGACAUCAGGAUACGGUCGGAGGAUCAAGGAAUGUAUCCCUCCGACAUCAAGAUACAGAGCUUAAUCAUGGAGAGCAUAGUUUACUUGUUCCGCCCCAGAAUAUUAAUGGUUUCAUGACAGUGACUGGGACAGUAAAGCGAGGAAAAAACAAAGGAGAAUGUUUUGAUGUCCAGCUAAAGAUGAACAAGGAUAAACUAAUUGAUCUUCAGCAGGAUAAAAGCUGUUGCUGUGGACUAAAGAAAGGUUUUCAUAUAUUCUUGUUGUCCCUGCUGAUAGUCCCCUGGGCCUGGCUGUUCUGCACCCUCUACGCCUUCUACAUGGGGACCAUCACCUGGUACAAUGUAUUCAUCUACUACAACGAGCAGAGAACAUGCUGUCAUACGAUAUUUGUAUCACCCUGUGUACUACUGCUGUACCCUGUGUGGAUUCUACCUGUAACUGUACUGCUGGGCAUGUACGGAGGUUGGAGGCAGGUCUCCUGGUCAUGUACGAGAUGGAGACGUGAACUGUUUGAUCCUGAGAAGGGAUUCUAUGGUUGGAUUUGUAAUAAACUAUCAAUCCCAGACUGCUCACCAUAUCAGGUGGUGAUCCUAUCCUCUCUUCCGCACGAUCCUCUGACAGUUACUAGCAUGGUCUAAACUCAUCUCAGUUAUAAACACGUGUUGAUCUUUACACCAACACGUGCUUUACACUGGCAAAAGUUGACCUACACACUGAAAAGUGUUGUACACCAACUUUGUUAACCAAAGAAAAUGUUUCUCUAAAUAUGGCUUACCUCAAAAAACUAAAUCGUUUUCUUGACUGCUUUAUAAUAAUCAAAGUUAACAGUUCCUAGUCCUCUCGUGUAAAACAAUGUAAAAAGUAAAGCGGGACUCAUAAAACUGAAAUAGGCAAAACUAACUUUUAAAAAUCCAAUUGAAAUUGAACCACAAUAAUUAUGCAAUGCAAACAGGCCUAUUUUACUUUUAAAGUGAUUUUUAAGCUAACUUGAUAACAUUGUUCGCUUUUUAUCCUAUGCCACAGUCUUACGGUAGCAGAAAGUAAAAUCUAGUCUGUUAAUCUUGACCAAACUAGUUGUAAGUAAAGUUAUGGUUUUCAGCCAAAAUAUCUCAUAAAAAUCUACCUCCGACACUGUGGUUUAAUAUUGGAGGGAUUCUUCAUUCAUCAGAGGACAGGGGUGUGGUGUAUUGUUUGAAGAGAUUCUAUCAUUGUAUUCAACCGAUCGAAUUGGCUAUUUCUGAUUUUAUUCUCCUCUUUGGUUGGAUUUACUGCUUUUCGCUUUUAAAUCGAUGGUUAAUAUAAGCAACAUAAUUUUUUUUAAUAAUUUAUCCAAUUGAAUCGAGUCUAAAGAAAUAUCAUAAAAGCACUGUACUUUAAAAACAGGAUACACACAUAUGGAUUUUCCUGAAACGUUUUAAAAAUGGCGUCUAAACUCUAAACUCUAAAAGAGCUUUUGACAUUUCAAGAAUUAAUUAUAGACACCGCGCUAUCUUUUUGAAUGCGAAACAUGUUUCAAUUUUUUUUGGUUUAAUUACAAUAUGUCUGAAAAAAAUCUUCAGGAUAAAUUACUGCAUCUAUAUUUGUACUUUGCUUGUCUGUCUGUCUGUUUGUAUUCAUUAAACGUCAAAACGGAGGAACCGAUCGGGCCCAAAUUUUGUGUGGGACCUCGCAUUACCCCAGGGAAGGUUACUGGAUGAUCGAAUUUUCACAAAUUUGCCUCUUAAAACCUAACCUAAAACCUUAAAAUUCGGAUAAAUAAAAAAAUUUAAAUCCACGAAUUUAUUUACAAAGAAAAAAUGUUGAACAAUGAAAUAGAAGAUGGGUCUUAAAAGACUAGUAGAACUUAUGUUUGGUCUGAAUCACAUAUAGCCAAAUAAUCAGUACGUUGUUUGAUCUCUAAUUAAGAAAAGUUUUACCACAACCCUGUACUCUGAUUCCUGAACUAUCCCUUCAUCAACCGUCAAUUUUGUACAAUUUUUAACAAAGUAUUUUACAUUACGGCGUUAUUAGAACUCAAACACACAACAAUAAUCUACAAUGCAAUUUUCUAUUUAAAACUAGUUAAAAUAAUGAAGAAAAUUAGUUAAACAUUUUAAAGAAUUUUUGUUGAUAUCACGUUUUUUUAUUGCUUUGAAAAUUCUUUCACAAAGUAAUUUUUUUUCUUUUCAAACAAGAAAAUCGAUCUUUUACCGCACUUUUUCCUUCUCCAAAAUAUCGAAUGUGAACAUUUUCAAUAUUUCAUUCUGAAAAAAAGUAUUUUUUCUGGGCCCAGGAAUGUACUCGACUCGAAGUACUCAGCCAAAGCUUUCGUUUUUGAUUUAUUUUUUUUCUUCACUUUGAGAUUUAGACUUUUCUUAUUUAAGAUCUUUUGUUAAAAUGUAUUCAGAAAAAUUUGCCAAAAUGCAUUAUUUGAAAUUUUGUUGACUCGUCAUAUUAAGCUGUACACUUUGUAAACUUGUAAACAGUGUAAAUACUUUAACUGACUGUACAUAAAAACUUUGUAUUUGUGCAGUACGUGUAUUUGUUCAGUACAUUAACAAAAUUUUGUUUACUUUUUGAUCUCAUUAUUUUUCGUAGAAUUAUAAAUAAAGAAUGCCUACUUGUUUU